CACCCAUACUAAAGUGGGUGGCAAAAUGGGCGGCGAAAUUUUAAGUCCCGAAUAAAUCUAUCUCGCUUAAAUAAAACCCCACAGUAAAACCCCAGGGCUGGCAGAAGUAAGUUGGCACGUCCACUCCCAGCCAGACCGCCUUUGUUCGCCGGUGCCAGCCGCUGCAGCAUCCAGGGGAGCACAGAACCCCGGCCAGGCAGAAGCAAUAAAUCACCCAGGUUAAGAAGACCCAGCUAGCCCAACAUAGAUCGAUUUCAUGGAUGCUUUCUUGCACUUACCAGUGAAAGAGCUGAGAACUGACCAUCUUCUGAGAGUGCCUUUUGGCUUCAGGGAAGAGAGUGAUACAAGAGCAGUGGUACAUGAAAGAGAAACUCAAAGCUCAACCAAAGGAGAAAACUGAAAAAAACACUCUUAUGUUAAUCAGACAAGACAUAAGUAACUGGAAGAAGAGUGUUACAUUUGACCUCCAGUGAGCACAACAAGAGGAGAAAGAAGAUGAUGCUGUGACAUACAUUACAGUGCUGUCUGCUCUUCUGAUCUCUUUGAUGGUGCCUCUUCUUGGCAUGUGACAUGAACCCAACUCUCAUUCCACUUGUGAACAUUUACAACCACAAGCUCCACUAUGCACCCUAAAGCUUGCACGGUGGACCACAACAUAGCAUAGAGAUGAUUCAUGGGCUGGAGACUUUCUGCACAUGCAGGGUCCAAGGUCUCUGAAAUUCAUCCAGCUUCACAGACCUGCUUCCUACCUGUGCUCAUAUCGGGAAAGAUGCCAAAACAGCUGGGAGAUGAAUUAUCUAUUUAUUUAUUCAAUAGAAAUGCUUCCUUUGACCUGGUGAAAUCUGGUGAGCUGGAAAAGCCUUUUUUGUCACUCAUGUUACCUCUUAUCCUCUGCAGGAGCCGCAGCGGAUUUAAAGGUCAUUUGAAAAGCAGCCUUUUGCUCUUUGACAGCCUUUUCACUAUUAACUUCCAGUUCUGUUUUACAAAGUCAUCAUUAGCUGCAUUUGUGGCUACUGCUAUUUUCCUGGGAUUGCAGAGAAACCUGAGAUACUAAUUGCAAUGAGCUAAUUUGGCAAUACCAUGUAAACUUCCUUAAGGCAUUAGUUAAGAAUAUAUUUUCUUUCACACAAAGAGUAUUUGAAAGAGGGAACAGACUGCAAAUGCAGCAGAAGGUAUGCUUUUGUACUCCUAUACUUAAGAGUAGAUGGUAUAAUUAGCUGACAAUGGUAGUUGAAUGUAACUCUCAGAAUGAGAACAUAUAGAAUUAAACAGUAGCUUUAGCUUAAUGAUAAUCAGUGAUAAUGAUGAUAAUAAUAAUAGUACUUAGAACUUUAAUGCAGAGAUUUGCAUUUUGAAAGUGCUAUGCUAAACAUUGACUUAAUUACUGUCACUUCUUCAGGGAAGGUAGGUAUUAUUCCCCUGACUUAAUAGAUAGGGAAAUAGAGAUAUAAGGGAAUGAAAUGACUUGCCAAGGGCUCUGCAAGGGCCUGUAAAGGGAGUCAAACUUUCCAGGUCCCUUUACUGUGUGCUCCCUUAUACUAGGCUAAUUAUGCACAUUGUAGGGUUGCUCUGUGCUUUUGAAACUUGAGACAAAGCCUUUUGAAAUUAAAACUGUGCGUAACAUGUUUUGAAGGUUGUAUUUUUUAAUCAGUAUGUGAUUGGAAAAAAUAUUUUAAUAUGAUUUUCCUCUCUAGGUCAACAAGAAACAUAUGGUUGGAGGCAAAAUUUUCAGUUUUGUUCUUAAAUAUAUAUAUUUAUUAAUCCUUUUAUAAAAAACUUCUGAAAGAAAGGUCAAAAAUUUGUACAGGGUAAUUGAAGAAACAGGUUUUUCUGAAAUUACUUUCAUUAUUAAUUGUGGAGAGAUGUGUUUGUGUGGCCUGAAAUUAUUUGCCAAAUUCCAAAUUUUUUAAAGUUGUCUCUGACACGCAAAUUGCGUAUUUUUUUGAAUUGUAUCUUGUAGACAUAUUUUUCUUGGUUCUUAUGAAAAUCAUUGUGAAUCUUUCUGCCUCAAUUAUUUCUCCUCACGGAAGGACUGGAGAUCAGCCCUGUGAUUUGAUUACUUGCAGAAUAUAUGGUGAGUAAAAUGGUAUGAUCUUAAUAUAAACAGUUUUCUGACCACAGCCACAAUUUAAGGCCAUGACGAGAUACUCUAAGAUGAAUUGCAUUCCAUAAGUAUGAAGUGAAAACAUCAGCUUUUAGCUAUAAUUAUUUCCCUGUGUAAAAGACAUUAAAACUAGACUACAGGAAUGAAUUUUGCUCUGACUGCAUUCACUACACUUUUAGCAUCGAUCUUGUAGGCACCACAGUUCUGGUUAAUUAAGUCUGAGUCGUAGUUCACUUUGAUAAAAAAUGUAGUUCUGUAUCUGUAGAGCAUAAGGCAAUAAAAGAUGUCAACAUCUGCAUUUGCAGGAUUUAGAAGGAGCUUUUGAUAAUCUGCUUCCUACCUUCUGUCACCUCUGCUUAACAAUGGAGGCAAACUCAUAGGUAUUUAAAACCUGGAUGUGCUGAGAACCUUCCUGUGAACAAGGUGAAGUUCCUGUCUAUACUGGCAGCCUUGCUGGACAGGGCUGGUGUCACAUUUAAGUGUUUCAGUACCUUUGAUGUACAUGGACAUUUGCUGGUACUCCGAAGGGAGAUGACAUCCAUAGGUAACAGCUUCAUGUAGCUUUAUUGAUUUUUGCAUUGUACUGGCAGUCAUUUCUAGGCAUGAGAAUCCCUUGCAGAGCCUGUCGUGAUAGUCUGACCUAGAGCUUCAGACAGUUUUUGUAGAUGAAUUUGAGGAAUGCUUUGCCUGUUUCCAGAACAAGAUAGCUAAUUCAUCCAGCUAAUAAAAACAUCAAAUAUUUUUAUCCAACAGCCUCUAACUGGGGUUUUCUUUAAAGGCUUUUUCUUUUUUUAAUUUUACAUAUUUUAAUUUUUCAUAUUGUCAUGACUGAAUACAGUGGUAGAAAUUAGAAACAUUGACAAAACAGUGGAGAAACUUUCUGAAAGACUGUAUUUGUUUUCAACAGACAUUUUGCAUUGAAAGCCAAAUGUUUUUCUAACAUUCACAGUUUUCCAGUCAGGGUAAGUGUAAAGAAACUAUUUCUAUAAUGGUGAAAUAGGCCAUAAGAGAAGGAGUGGCUAGUCACACACACAGAUCAACCCUUUUUUUGGAAAACUGAUUUUUUUUUUUCCUCAACAGAUUGCUUUGAAUGGAUAAUAUGGGCUAAAAUUAUUCCCAGACAUUAUUUAGCAAUAAUUUUAAUGAAAUGCAACAGAACCACAAUCUAACAAUGAGCUAACAGAAAUGUGCAUUGUUGUAUAUAGUUAGUAAGAAGUGUUCACCGCUCUAAUAAAACUAAGUGGCUUUUGGGGAGGUGCAGUAUGAACAAAAUAUUAAAUUUGGUUCAUCCUGAUAAUCCAUAUUGGAAUAUCAGAGAUGAGUUGUUGUCUGCACAGAGUUUAACAAACUCCCAGCUUUGAGGAGUACUAAACAAGAUGCGAGACCUGAUGGAGUGAAAUAAGAAAUAUGGACCUGAAGAUGAGACUGCUGUAUUAUAUGUUGAUCACACAAGGUGGCAGAAUAAGCUCAGGGCUAUCCCAGAAAUAAGAGGCAGUGAAUUAUCAUUGCUUUCAGUCAACAGUGUAUCCUUGCUUGCCCUAGGAAUAUGCAAGUUGCUUCUGCACAUGUAGAGGGAUGGAGGAGAGUAUUUUAAUACAGAAUUUUUUGAUAAUUUUCCAAGUGCUUCAAUUUCAUUUGGAGAUUUAAUGGAAACUCUUAAAAGCUUGUGGCUAACUUUGGAAAUUAAUAAUCAUACAAUGCUGAAUCUGCUCACAUAUUCAGUUUUAUUGAAAACACAGUUUACUUUCUAUUGAUACAUUGAUUCUCUAAGUGGGGUUGAACUCUUCAGAUGAAGGACAGCUGCAAGAACAGACAUGAAGGGAACAUUUUGCUGUUCAUUAUCGAUUGGUGGCUAAAUUCACUUCUAUUGUAAGUGAGUGAAACUUUAUUGACUUUCCUUGUAUUGCAUUUACUUAUAUGCUCUGCCUGAGCAUGGCAGGCAGAUAUAUGUGGCUGAACUGAGGGCAACCUCAAAGAGGAGAAAUGGAAGUUCAAGGAAAAGGGAAGAGAUUACUCUUCAGCAAUUGUCCUGUUAGUGCUUUGGCCAAUGAGUUGGGGAAUAGUAACAAUGCUUCUUUUCACACAGGUACAGCUACCAGAUGCCCUCCUUGACCUCUGAGCCUGCCGUCCUAAUCCUCACUUCCAGGGGCAGGGCUGAGCUGCAUCACCAAGGGAACUUUUGGAUUCUCCUCCGUUUGCUUGCUCAGUUUGCCUCUGUGGAGCUAUGAGACAGACAAGCAGUGCACCAAAAUGAUGGAGAAUUUCAAUUAUAAUAAGGGACUCCUUGCAGUCUUCCUGAUGUAAACUGCACCAGUAAAGCAUAAAAGCAGGGUAUGAAAGGAAAAGUUAAUCCUGGGAUCUUCAAAGCAAAACUGAGUGACUUCAGUCAAAAUUAUUUGGACAUGGAGAAAAUCCUGUUAACUACUGUCACACACACAGAGUGACACAUGGACAUGUCCACUUACUUUGACUUUUGGGAAGUGGCAGAGGAGGAGGAAAUGCAAGUACCAGAUCAAAAGAGCAAGAGUUUUCGAGUUGUCAGCAUGACUGUGUCCCCCAGCAGUAAAUCCUCCGAGAUUCACAGUUGUAUUUAGGAGCAUGGAAUAGGUGGUGGACAGCCCAAAGAUCCAGAGACCACCUUAUGUUUCUAACCCUUUCUUGUAAUAUUAUCUCUUCUCAGUCUUCACAUUACCAUUUUGGACAGGUUUCUCAGACGCUCAUCCUGUCUUAUUUUUAAUGAAUAAAAAAAGAGCUGUUCUUUGAGUUCCGAAUAUUUUUGUUAUCCAGAAAAUACCAUUAUAAAGUGAGUUCUUUGAACUUUCAGCUUUCCGGUUUUGAUGGUUGAAGAACAUAAGAAAGCCACUUCAAAAUACACCUUCUGAGGCCAGAGACAAACUUGACCUCUUCUCUAACACUUCUGCUUUGCUCAAAGAGGUUGACCCAUGGGAUCGAUGCCAAAGGAAGGUGCUCAGGGCCCAGGGUCUGGGAUGCUGAACAUGGCACUUUUUCAAGGUGAAAUAGCAACACAGAAGGAGGAUAUUUUUAUAAGUAAAAGUACUUGCCUGAUUCUCCUGUCACUGCUCAGUGACUUGCAUUUAUAUAUACUAUUUAAAGAUUCGUUAAAUGCAUAAAUAUGUGUAGUCUGUGACACGCAGCUCAACAGAUAUUAAAAGAUCCCAGCCUGUGGUUAUGAUUUAACUUGCUCUUUAAGACUUUUGCAACUGCUUCACAUUUUCUAUGCCUUUUUAGUUUGUAAGAUGAAAGCUGGAUUGUGGUGAUAGCUCAAAGAGCCUUCCCUUCCCUUCCCUUCCCUUCCCUUCCCUUCCCUUCCCUGCCCUUCCCUGCCCUUCCCUGCCCUGCCCUGCCCUGCCCUGCCCUGCCCUGCCCCUCCCCUAACCUUCCCUUUCCUUCCCUUCCCUUUCCUAACCUUCCCAAACCUUUCCUUCCCAAACUUUCCCUUCCCAAACCUGCCCUUUCCUUCCCACAUCUCCCCAGACCUUUCCAAACCUUCCCUUACCAAACCUUCCCAAACCUUCUCGCUUUUUUGAAGAAAUCAGGAUUGGUUAUUUUUAUUAUUUUUUUAUACCAACAUCGAAUGGAAAACAUUUGUAUUUAUUUAAGUGUUUAAGGAGGAUCUGCUCAUAACCUCCCAGCAAGACAGUAAAUUCUUCCAUGUAUUGACUUCAUCAGUUAUCCCUACUGGCUUUUCACAUGCCUGAGGGAUAUUUAGUCAGACAGAUUCUCUCUAAUGUAGAGGAAUCUCCAGGGAAGGUCAGCCAAACAAGCAGCACUUAUUCAGAAACAAUGUGAUGUGUGUGUGUGUGUGAAUGGCAGGUUACUGACAUGGUGCUGAGGAAAGACAGUAAGAGCACCACUUUCCUUUUCAGCUCCUUCAUAAGAAUAACCCUGGUUUCAGAACUGAAGAGCCUUCCUUGCUCUGCCAUCUGCACUCCAAACAGCAGUGAGAAUUAGGUCCUUCCCAAAAUCUGAUUUGAGGUGUUCAUUGUCCAAACCUUUGAAACAAUCACUUUUACUAAUGUAUGAGUGAACACUGGGCCAAAUAUUGCAAUGGUGGAUGGUGUGUCUGGUGGGUUCACUCAAACGCCAUGGUGCAGAAUGAGACUUUGGCAUCCAGUAAGGGGUCUACAGACUGAGGACUCUUCAGGGUUGCAUCUGUGUUUCACUCCUCUGCUGAUGUUCAUCUUCUCCCUGAACCAAGCAUCAAAUUCAGCUGGCAGGCAAACAUGACCCCUUACAAAACUGCAUCUGAUAUGUACGGUCACGAGAUGGGGAGCAGGCUGCAAAGGUGGACAUACGAGUCUGUUUUUAUGGAGAGGAGGGAACUUGACAUAGGGGAAAAUCAUGUAAGUCACAUAAGUCACAUUGAGCAAAUGAGAUUUGCUUUCUCUAUGUCCUCUGAGUGCUAGGAAAGCUCUCCCUAACCACAAAGCUCAAUAUUCAAAUGUCAGUCCUUACCUUACAACUAAUUCAUCUUAACAGGGUUAUAUAUGUGAAUAGCCUCACUGGGAUCAAAGGAGUUAUUUACCUGCAUGCAGUGUCAUGCACACACAUUUGCAGGAUCAGGCCCUCCACACACACAGCAGCUUUCAUUGCCCUGCCUGUUGCUAAGUCACAAUCUGAAGUGAAUUAAGGAAAGUGAAGAGAAGCAUAUGCUUACAUGGCAAGACUGCUGGAGAAUGGUUUAAAGUGUUAAAGGUUUAAAUCACACCAAGGCUAUAAAAAUCAACUUUGUUUAUGGAGCGGUGCAGAGACCUAUUGUACUUCAUAUCGAUCAAUCCAUUGAACACCUGGUUCAAAAUGUACAAUUGAAAGCUGUGGAAAAGUGCUAAAUUGAACAAUCUAAGUAACCUGUGAACCUGACAGUCAUAAAUCAAUGGAGAUGUUACACAUAGUUAACCCUAACUAGUUAGCAAAUUUUUAGCUGUGUUUCCUGGUUAGGAGCUAGUUUACCAUUUCAGAAUUGUAUUAAUACAGAAAACAUCUUUGCACUGAAUGUUCCUCAAUAAACAGAGCAUGAGGUUCACUGAAGACUUCCUCCCUUGGUGCUGUACCAGGUAAACCUUGCUUGAAUAUCAGAUUGGAAAAAAGGACAUUUGAAAUUAAGAAAUAGGCGUACAAAAAGACACACUGUCAACUUUGGGGGACUUAAACAGUAUGGAUACAAAAGAUAUAGGAUCCACUUUUCAAAGAUGCUUGAUUCCGCACAGAGGGUUAUUCACAUCUGUAUAGGCUUUGACAAACACUGAAUUUUGUGAUGCCAGUGCUGUUUUGUUACUUUUGUUCACAGGUUCUUUACAGACUUGGAAAGACUUUGGUUUGCUGGCCCAUCUUAUCUUACAUAUGGCUGGCAACAUUUGCCUUCCUUUGCUUCCUAAGGCCAGUAAAAAUGCUGAGUUUUUCAGGCAGGCUCACAAGAACUUCUUGGUCCUGUUAAACCAUUUUGCUUAGGGUUAAUUGCAUCCACACCUCUAGUCCUCUAUUAGCUUUUACAUUAUCUUAUCCUUUCAGCUCAGGCUGAGAGGUCUGCAGUCACCUGGGUUACACAUAUAACUUUAAAAAAAAAAAUGGUGUGAUGGUGGCUUUUUUUCUUCUUUUUUUUUCUUUUUUUUUUCCCUGUCCUUCUUGGAACUCCUCCAGUGUUCUCAGACUUACCAAAAAGCAAUAUUCAUGAUUUUGAAUUUUCUUCAGUCAGCUUUUUUAAACCUCUUCUUUGUAAAUUAUGCAGGUCUGCUGAUUUAAAUAGCUAUUUAACAUUCUACUGAUUUACUGGAAUGAACAGCAUUGCAUUGCCUUCUUAUGACAGAACUGAUUUUGUCUGUUUUUUCUUUAAGCGGAUAUCAGAUUUACAGAGCAUACAAAUUUUUGCAUACAUUAUUAACACGGCUAUAUGUCUGUGUAGUCAAGACCAAAAAUUUUUCUUGUUAUCCUUAACUCUGAUGAAAAACCUUACUUCUUGCUUCCAUCCUUAUCAAUUUUCUGUAGUUCUUAUCUUCUGUCUAAUUCUUAUGAAUUCUGAUAAAUCCCUUUUUUUCUAGUGUAAUUAUUUUGAUUUACAUAGCUGCUUUCACUUUUAUGCAAGUCAACAUUUAGGCUAGCUCACUUUUCAUUCUUUUUUUUUAAAACCUCUUGUAAAAUGUUUUUAAACAGUUUCCAGUCAUUAUCCACAUUUCCUGUCUAAUUUCUUUCUCCCAACUGAUUUAACUCAUAAUUGUUUUCAGCUUUGUGAAAUUGGCUCUUACGAUUCAUCACGUAUACAUAUUACUGGUCUGGACUUAAUUCUGAUUAUAUAUAACAAACAGAAGCAAAUCAUGAUCACUUUUAUCUAAACUACUGCUGAUUUCUAAAGUGUGCUUCUAUGACACUUUAUUCUCAUCUAUAAGGAUAAAAUGAUGCAAUAUAGCAUUCCAAAAUUGCUAGAUGCAGCAUUUUUAAGGAACUCAUAAUUUAUGGCAUAUUCCAAGAAUCUAUUAAUUUGGUGGCAUGAUAACUCCAAACCAUGCUAUUCAAAUUGAAGUGCUGACUUUGCAUGGUUUAUUUUUGUUCUUGUUUUAUGGAUACUUACUUAAGGAGAUAGUUUUCCUGUUCUUCUGGUAAUUACUUGCAGUUUUUUGUGUUACAUAACACACACAAAAAACAUAUCAUUUUAUACUGCUUUUGUAACACACCAAUCUACAGAUUAAGAAUUACUUAUGUCUUUGAGACUGUUUCCUAGUUUUGUCCAAUUUCUUCGGCCUUAUUUUAAUGACUUAAUGGAAUUUAGAAGGAGAGAACUGGCUUCCCAAAGAUUCCUUACCAAGGAAAAGUAAUGGAUAAGAAGUAGACUAUAUUUAAGAGUUCCACCCCAAUCGACAUUUUAAAAAGGGCCUAGUGCCUAUCUCAGCUUUUUUGCCUUCUUGUUGCUUUCAUCAACAGAUUGCCAGACGGUAAAGUGGAUUAGAGAGUCAGUCUUCAGUACUGCAGUACCAGUGCUACUAAAGGUUUAACCAAGUCACCUUCCAAAGGCUAAUCCUGCUGGCUGCUAUCUAAUAUAUUUUCCCUUGGUAACCCAUCCUGUUUCACUCACCGUUACAUUUAGAACAAGCAGCUGUAGAGAGCAUGUAAAAUCAGAGAAUAAUGCAACUUGAAAAUGCAAAGGUUGUUCCAUAAAUAAGCAUCUGACUUGCAAAAGAGUCACUCUUGCUGUGGCAGUUAAUUAACAAACAAGUCAUGUCUGUGCUCCUUCCUGGUGGCUGCAGUAAUCUUCUUGCUUGGUCCAAAGAGCUGACCAUAAAAAGAUUGUCACAAAGUGUAUGGUGUGAAGGAGAAUUUGGCAUUUGGGAAAACAAAUUUAAAGCAACCCCAGAAGUUUUCCCUCUACAAAUGCUGUCACAGUUGGCAGCAAGGGACAUAUUUACAACUGAAAUGCAAACUUGGUCAUUGAGGACACUUUUUUCAGGGAGAUGUGGAUCAAACGUCCACUGGGUUACAAUGCUGAGACCACCCAGGCUUUUACUAAUACUAGUGUUUACAUAAAAAGUUAGAAACAAGCUCCCCUCCAAUUAGAAAGCCAAUAUCUAACUAGAUGCUAGCUUGUUAUAUACCCUGUAGCCUGAAUGUUAAUGACUUUGACCUCCUUCAGUUUAAUCUUAAUCUCCUUGACAGAACAAGUGAAUUUUGGGUUAUACUUUACCGAAUUGUUCCCUUUGUUUUCUUCCCCCUCUUCUGUUUCCAACAGUGACUUUGUCACAUAUUGCAGACCCAAAUGAAAGCCUGUCUUCUUUUUCAAUCAGUCAUAUCACUAAGUAUAUGAGCAGAAAAACCCUUGUGAUUGACACUGCUUCAACAAAAGCAGAUUCAGUUUGCAGACGAUAAGAGGCAAAGUCAUACAAGCAGUGUUUACAAAGCAGUGAAGGAGCAAAAAAAAAAAAUAAUGAUAAAAGGACUAAUCUUAUUGUUUUACUAGAUGAGAGAAUGGUUCUUUGUGUUUGCUCUAGCAGAAGCCGACAGAUUGUCUCCCACCUCCCUUGUACACUUUUGGCAGCAAAAUAAUUUCCAGAAAAUUCUGUAUCAAAUGCUGGCUGGUAGAUUAAAAAAGGGCUCUGGAAUGCCUGGAAAGCUUCAGAAAGCAGAGGAGUUCCUGCACACGAUAGCACAUGCAUAUGCUACCUACAGCAUGCUAUAUAAUUGAACAUUAUCUCCCUCAACAAGGGGCAAGGAGAUAUAAGAGCAACAGAAGCAAAUGGAAAGCAAAGCAGAAGGAAAAAGAAACAAAGCUAUGUGAAAACAUAUUGAACUGGCUGAUCUGAUGUGUUUUCUGUUGUAUGGCAAUCUCACAUCUAUCAGGAACACUCUUCCUGAUUUCUUCACUCUAAGGGAGACCAGACCCACGUCAGCUCUAAUCGAAAGGUGUCCCAGCUUUCAACCCAUGCUCCUGGUGCUGGAGUGCUUGUAUGGUAGUAUGGCCAGCAAAGGUCACAGAAGUACCAUUUCCAUUUCUUGGUCCCAAAUGCUGGAGUGCGAUGACUGGAACAGAUUCAGAGUGGUAGCGCAGUUUAUAUUGGAAGGGAUCUUGGGAGGUGACAUGGUCUGAAUGCUGCUCAAAGAAAAGCUGACUUCAAAAUCAAAUCUAGACUGCCCGGUACACAUUUGAUAUUCCCUACUGGCAGUAGGGUGUCCCACUGGGAUUUUUUCAGGACAGCACAUCUGUACAUAAAUCUGUUUUAACCUUAUGUAAUGGCCACUAUUGACUGCACAGGAGGCAGGACAGAGAAUUAAAAUCCAGGAUGAUCUCAAUAGGUGAAGGACAGGAUACCCUUGCUUUCCAUCUCCUCUACUGUUCAUUAGUUUCAUGGUUUAAUUCCUAUCUCUUGCUAGCAGGGCCAGGCAGCUUUGUCCUUUCAACAGCUGAAGUCACACUGCUUCACCACCAUUCACCAAAGGUUGUUGAGCAAGUGUUUCCAAUUUUUUUCUCUACAAGAUGAAGCCUGCCAGCUCAGUUAUGUCCAUCAGUGAGCAUGAAUAUCUAGCUGUAAAAUAAUCAGUUGUCAUAGUCAUUAUUGAAAUAGGUUGCACAUAGAGCAUAUGAAGCAAUAAAAGGCAAGACAAAACUGUUUUAAUGAUUCUCCCCUAAAAGUCUCUAUGGAGUAUGUUCAUUGUGUCUGUCUAAUCUAACCAUCCCCACAGGCUAUAUGAGAAGCAGUACUAGUACUGAGGGAACAGCAAACACCUCAGGUUUCAUUGAAACAUUUCUUUUCAUCCCAUUCUGCCCCACUAAAAAGACAUUGACACUCUUAGAGAACAUUACUUGAGUUAAAGACAGGUACUCUGUUGGGAGAAAAAAAUUGACUUACCAAGUGAUGAAGCACAGGCAAUUUUAACUUUAUUCAGAACAAUUGCAAAUAAUGGCAAAUAACACAGUGAGUUUCACCGUGAGCAAGGCAUUCUGGCAUGUAUUUCUGAAUCCUGUUCAGAUUACUGCUGUUUAGCAAGUUACUGAACAUUAGCAGAGACACAGAAACUGUAUCUACUUUUGCUUUCAGCUUGUGGAAAAUGUGAAUAUAUUUAGUGUGUCUUUCACUACAUGCUAAGAUAACAUUUUAAAUACAUAUUUAUUUGUUGCUAGUAAAUUCUUGCAUAUGGAUACAUUUAACAUCCCUGCCACAGUACAGAAGGUGUACAGUAAUUUGUUAAUUUGUGGUAAUGUGAUCAGGUGGUUCAGCUCUAUCUCACAUUUGUGCUGUUUCACUCUCAUGACUUAUUCUUGCAAACCUCCAUGAAUUAAUAAAUAAGAACCCUGGCCAGCUAGCCUUCAAUGACUUUUCCAUGGAAACAUCUGUAUUGAAAAAUAAAGCUGUGAAACAUUUUGCACUGUCAAUUUCUAACAGUUACAGCACUCCUCUGGUACAUUAGUUAGAGCAAUUUGGGCUUUAGAACAAAAGUAAGUAUCUAUAACACAGGCACACAAAAUGAAUACCAGGGAAAUCAAUCAAAGAGUGAUAAACUUUUAUUAAAAAAAGACAUCACUCUCUGGCAAUUCAUAAAACAAGUCUCCAAAUCGGUAUAGACAGUACAAAUAAACAUAAAAUGAUUCUUUAAGGGCAUAAUGAGGCGUUCUGUCAACAGCAAUAAGAAAACAAAGCACAGAUGUAUGUUAAAGAAAUUGCACAUUUUCUGUUCAGAAAGCCUUCAGCAUUUCUUUUUGAUAAAAUACGAGUACAAGAUGCAAGAAAUGAAUUCCCCAUCUGAGCAAUGUCUUUUUAGUUUCUGCUUCUUGUUCUAUCAAAUCUAUCAUUGCUCUGUGGGACUUGAUACUCUGUGAAGAUCUUUGAAUUUGCUGAAAUACUUUAAGCUAAUCCUCAGUCUCUGGGACUUGGCCAUAUACCUAGGUUCAGCAGAGUCCACUCCUGCACGCUAUUCCUGGUGGACCGUUUCUGUAAGACUGAAACCUCCUUUCUGCUCAAGCAAUAUAUUUCAAGCUCACCCUUUUCCAAAAAUUACAAGUUUUAAUUCUAUGAAAUGUUGCCUGUAUAAUGUAUGUUAUUAAAAUAACUGUUCUUUA